rnacentral:rRNA from 1 species
GGGCCCGCACAAGCGGUGGAGCAUGUGGUUUAAUUCGAUGAUACGCGAGGAACCUUACCAGGGCUUAAAUGUAAGUUGCAUAGAUCAGAGAUGGUCUUUUCUUCGGACUACUUACAAGGUGCUGCAUGGUUGUCGUCAGCUCGUGCCGUGAGGUGUCAGGUUAAGUCCUAUAACGAGCGCAACCCCCUGUCGUUUAGUUGCCAUCAAGUAAUGUUGGGUACUCUAGCGAGACUGCCCGGUGCAAACCCGUGAGGAAGGUGGGGAUGACGUCAAAUCAUCACGGCCCUUACGUCCUGGCUACACACGUGCUACAAUGGCCGGUACAGAGAGCAGCCACUACGCGAGUAGGAGCGAA